AUACGUAGGGGGCGAGCGUUGUCCGGAAUGAUUGGGCGUAAAGGGCGCGUAGGCGGCGCGGUAAGUCUGGAGUGAAAGUCCUGCUUUCAAGGUGGGAAUUGCUCUGGAUACUGCCGCGCUUGAGUGCAGGAGAGGUUAUCGGAAUUCCCGGUGUAGCGGUGAAAUGCGUAGAGAUCGGGAGGAACACCAGUGGCGAAGGCGGGUAACUGGACUGCAACUGACGCUGAGGCGCGAAAGUGUGGGGAGCAAACAGGAUUAGAUACCCUGGUAGUCCACACUGUAAACGAUGAAUGCUAGGUGUAAGAGGUAUCGACCCCUUUUGUGCCGGAGUCAACACAAUAAGCAUUCCGCCUGGGGAGUACGGCCGCAAGGUUGAAACUCAAAGGAAUUGACGGGG
rnacentral:rRNA from 1 species